rfam:Triticum aestivum genome assembly, contig: Triticum_aestivum_CS42_TGACv1_scaffold_376577_5AL
GGAUUACUCCCUCCGUUCGGAAUUACUUGUCUCGGAAAUGCAUGUAUCUAGAACUAAAAUACGUCUAGAUACAUCCAUUUCUGCGACAAGUAAUUCCGAACGGAGGGAGUACAUG